CCUUGCCAGCCCGCUCAAGAAACUCGAAAGGAAUUGACGGGGCCCGCACAAGCGGUGGAGUAUGUGGUUUAAUUCGAUGCAACGCGAAGAACCUUACCUGGUCUUGACAUCCCGGAGACCCUUAGGAAACUAGGGGGUGCUUCCAUCUGGAAGAAUCUGGAGACAGGUGCUGCAUGGCUGUCGUCAGCUCGUGUCGUGAGAUGUUGGGUUAAGUCCCGCAACGAGCGCAACCCUUGCCUUUAGUUGCCAGCAGUUCGGCUGGGCACUCUAAAGGGACUGCCGGUGUUAAACCGGAGGAAGGUGGGGAUGACGUCAAGUCCUCAUGGCCUUUAUGACCAGGGCUACACACGUACUACAAUGGCCGAUACAAAGGGCAGCGACACUGCGAGGUGAAGCCAAUCCCGUAAAAUCGGUCUCAGUCCGGAUUGGAGUCUGCAACUCGACUCCAUGAAGUUGGAAUCGCUAGUAAUCGUGGAUCAGCAUGCCACGGUGAAUACGUUCCCGGGCCUU
rnacentral:rRNA from 1 species